rnacentral:lncRNA from 1 species
GCGGGGACGGUGGCGGGCGGGGCGGGCCCCCACGGCCAGCUUCCCUGGAGGACCCGGCGGCGGGCGCCGCGCUCUCCGGGCCCUGCGGCUGUUCUGUGCGCCGAGGGCGGCCCCGUCGGAGGGUCCUGCUUGUCUCGGGAGCCGCACGGACCCACCGGGGGCUGCGCUCCUGUCCCCGCCGUGAAGCGCAGGGCCGCGCCGGUGAGACAGAGGAGUUUCGGCCGAGCGGGCCUCGCCCCCGCGUCCCCGAGGCCCGCGACGCGGGGACGGAGCCCCUUCCGGCCAGGCGGGCCGGGGACGCCGCCGAGGCCUGAGCGCCGCUGCACCGCGGCCGCUUCCAGGAUGGCCUCCCAGCCUGCGCCCGUGGGGCCGGACUCCGAGGGCCCAGCCGAGGCCGAGGAGAAAUCUGGAGCCUGGAGGACAAGCCGGGGCAGCAGCUCUCCCUCUGACCUCCCCUUCCCUUGGCCUCCAGCUCUUCGCAGGAGGAAGAGGGACCACCCACGGUGUUGCCGGCCCCCAGGCACGCGUUCAUUCCGUGGUGGUUAGUGAGCACCUGGUGUGUAACGUACCUACUCGGCCCUGUGCCUUGUGUAGAGGAUGCAAUGGUGAGCAGAACGACCGCUCCUGUCCUCGGGAACAGCGUGGCACCUGGCUACACACUGUGGUGAGGGCUCGGAAGGAGAAGCCCAGGGCGUCCUCUAGACUGGAUGGGAGUCAGGGCAGGCGUCCUGAGGCAUGAGGUUAGAGGAGUGAUUGGGCCGUAACUUGAGAUGGGGCAGAGAUGAGACCUUUCCAGGCAGAGGGAGUAACACGUGCAAAUGCCCAGUGGCUGGCAGAGUAAGAUAAGUUCCAGGAAUAGAAGACUAGGCCCGUGGGACUGGAGCAUGGUGGUCAAUGGUGGAUAAUGGCAGAAGGCUGGAGAGGCACAGGAGCCAGCCAAGGCAUGGCCCUCUAGUCUGGGGACAGGACUUUUCUUGUCAUCUUCAUGUAAUCUCAGGCUGGGAAAUGCCUGCUAAAAUCGGGAUGCUAUGUUGAGUGGCCCCAUCUUAUUCUGGAAGAGAAGCUUGGGGUGGGGGAUGACACUUCAAGUUGGGUCCAAAGACUUGCAAAACUAGGAUUGCCACAGGAUUUAGUUUUAUCCCACUGUCUUGAGAUCUGUGACCCCAGACUCCUCCAAGCUCUGAUGGUGACCCUCAUGAUGGUGGUGGCUCUAUGAUGUCACUGAGGGUACAGUGACCAAAGGCCUAAACUUAACACUCUGCUCAGGAAACGGAGGGCUUCAUUUCGGUGUCUGUCCAGGCCACAGCCUAAUGGGUCAUUAAAUAGACUCGAGAGGAGAAACAGCCAAGGGAAGAAGGAAAGCCGCUCACUGUGUAUUUUCCACGGAUGUCUGCACUAAUAUAU